rnacentral:rRNA from 1 species
CGGAGGAUCCAAGCGUUAUCCGGAAUCAUUGGGUUUAAAGGGUCCGUAGGCGGUUUUAUAAGUCAGUGGUGAAAUCUGGUCGCUCGACGAUCAAACGGCCAUUGAUACUGUAGAACUUGAAUUACUUGGAAGUAACUAGAAUAUGUAGUGUAGCGGUGAAAUGCUUAGAGAUUACAUGGAAUACCAAUUGCGAAGGCAGGUUACUACAAGUGGAUUGACGCUGAUGGACGAAAGCGUGGGGAGCGAACAGGAUUAGAUACCCUGGUAGUCCACGCCGUAAACGAUGGAUACUAGCUGUUCGGAGCAAUCUGAGUGGCUAAGCGAAAGUGAUAAGUAUCCCACCUGGGGAGUACGAACGCAAGUUUG